UACGUGAGGUGCGAGCGUUAAUCGGAAUUACUGGGCGUAAAGCGUGCGCAGGCGGUUUGUAAGACAGGCGUGAAAUCCCCGAGCUCAACUUGGGAAUUGCGCUUGUGACUGCAAGGCUAGAGUGUGUCAGAGGGGGGUAGAAUUCCACGUGUAGCAGUGAAAUGCGUAGAGAUGUGGAGGAAUACCGAUGGCGAAGGCAGCCCCCUGG
rnacentral:rRNA from 1 species